GGGAGCGGACGGUGGCUGGUGUCGCCCGCGGCCUUCAAAGCCGUCUGCGGGGUCCCUUCGGGGCUCCGGGUGGGUUCGAUUCCCAUGCGCUCCCGCCA
rnacentral:tRNA from 1 species